GCGGGGUGAGGUAGUAGGUUGUGUGGUUUCCGGGCAGUGAUGCCGCCCCUCGGAAGAUAACUAUACAACCUACUGCCUUCCCCGA
rnacentral:pre_miRNA from 3 species